rnacentral:siRNA from 1 species
CCAACUGUUGUCGAACCGUCUGC